UACGGAGGGGACUAGCGUUGUUCGGAAUUACUGGGCGUAAAGCGCACGUAGGCGGUUUUGUAAGUCAGGGGUGAAAUCCCGGGGCUCAACCUCGGAACUGCCUUUGAUACUGCAAAUCUCGAGUCCGGAAGAGGUGAGUGGAAUUCCUAGUGUAGAGGUGAAAUUCGUAGAUAUUAGGAAGAACACCAGUGGCGGAGGCGGCUCACUGGUCCGGUACUGACGCUGAGGUGCGAAAGCGUGGGGAGCAAACAGG
rnacentral:rRNA from 1 species